rnacentral:rRNA from 1 species
AUGGCUAGAGGCUACGCAGGCCGGAUCCAGGCCUUCUCCAAAGCCGCUCUUCUUGGUUUGGUCCUCUUAUCCAUGGUGACCUGGGUACCGCAUGCGUGUUCUUGCCUGAGGGCCUUCCUCUUUGUGUCACUUCCUUCUGCUGCUUCAGCGAUCGCCACACCCAAGUGCCUCUUCAUCUUCUCCAACAUCAUCGUCCUCUUCCUCGCCACCGAGUCCAGGCUCUCGCGGAACGGUGCUCGAUCCCCGAGCACUGGUGAGGAUGACAUAGAUGCUGUGGUCCGUGAGCUUGUGGCUUUUACACAUGCAAUCAAAGAGACCCAUGCUGCAGAAGAGAUCGUCAAAGCAGAACAAGAAGUUAGUGUACGCAUGACCACGCAGCAGCUAGAUCAAUGUGAAAAGGAAGAAGAGAGCGACGUCGCACUGGUUAACAAUAAUGUUGGUGAUGACCUGCAAGAAGAGGUGAUGAAGGAAGAAGACUGUGAGGAGUCAACGGAGCUGCCUACUGAGGAGCUGAAUAGGAGAGUGGAAGACUUCAUUGCAAGAUUCAACAUGGAGAGGCAGCUCGAGGCAAGGAUGGUCGUGUGUUGCUGCUGA